rnacentral:lncRNA from 1 species
GGUCACUGCAGUCUUGACUUCUGGGUCCAAUUGAUCCUCCUGUAACGACUGAAUUUAAAUAUAUGUCCAGAGUCACAAAUUGCAAAAGAGAACUUUAUAGACUGAUUUGAGCAAUUAAAAAAAUUGUUAAUUGAAGGUGAGAACAAUCCUAUUUUAUAAGGGGGCUUUCUAAUAAGAUAACAACUUAGAAGUUGUUAAUUUUGUAUUAGGAAGUCAAAGGGAAAGGGUGCAAAAUGGUAAAAAUGUCUCCUGGCCACUUCGAGAAUCUAAUGCUUGAUGGAACGGUUUCAUUCCAAAACUAUUCCCUCACCAUGGAAAAACUUGUCUUGCACAAAACCCAUUUCUGGUGCCAAAAACUUUGAGGACCACUGUUCUACCCCAAACAUCACCUUAUCUUAUGUUUACAUCUGAAGUUUAUAUUAUAGAAAAUAAGACCAUUGAGUGGGCAGGGUGGCUCAUUCCUGUGAUCCCAGUACUUAGGGGGCCAAGAUGGGAGGUUUGCUUGAGCCCAGGAGUUUGAGACCAGCCUGGACUACAUAGGGAGAGCCUGUCACUACAAAAAAUAAAAAAUUAGCCAGAUGUGGUAUAUGGUGAUGCUGGGAUUACAGACAUGAGUCACUGUGCCUGGCCUGGUGGACACAUGUCUUGAGUGAGACCACUGCCGUCAUGCUUUUCUCACUAUUCUGAGUCCCUGGCACAUAGUAGAUGCUCAAAAAUGUUUGUUAAAUAUAUUAAUAAUUUAGCUGUAAUGGAGAAAAACUAUGGACAAACCAGUCAUGGUAGUUUAGGCAAGAGAUUAGACCCAGAACUAAAGCAGUGGCAGUAGGAGUGGACAGAUAAAGCUAACCCAGAAUUUUGAUGUAUUUCUAACUUUGAAGACCAGUUAGAAAAGGAAUCAGAUAAGGAGGUUUCUAGUUUGGGAGACUGGGUGAAAUGCGACA